GCCAGGUGUGGUGGCGCACGCCUGUAAUCCCAGCUACUCAGGAGGCUGAGGCAGAAGAACCGCUUGAACCCAGGAGGCAGAUGUUGCAGUGAGCUGACUGCACACCAGCCUGGGUGACAGAGUGGGACUCUGUCCCAA
rnacentral:SRP_RNA from 2 species